GACGAACGCUGGCGGCGUGCUUAACACAUGCAAGUCGAACGGAAAGGCCCUGCUUUUGUGGGGUGCUCGAGUGGCGAACGGGUGAGUAACACGUGAGUAACCUGCCCUUGACUUUGGGAUAACUUCAGGAAACUGGGGCUAAUACCGGAUAGGAGCUCCUGCUGCAUGGUGGGGGUUGGAAAGUCUCGGCGGUUGGGGAUGGACUCGCGGCUUAUCAGCUUGUUGGUGGGGUAGUGGCUUACCAAGGCUUUGACGGGUAGCCGGCCUGAGAGGGUGACCGGCCACAUUGGGACUGAGAUACGGCCCAGACUCCUACGGGAGGCAGCAGUGGGGAAUAUUGCACAAUGGGCGAAAGCCUGAUGCAGCAACGCCGCGUGCGGGAUGACGGCCUUCGGGUUGUAAACCGCUUUCGCCUGUGACGAAGCGUGAGUGACGGUAAUGGGUAAAGAAGCACCGGCUAACUACGUG
rnacentral:rRNA from 1 species